UACGAAGGGGCUAGCGUUGCUCGGAAUCACUGGGCGUAAAGCGCACGUAGGCGGCUUGUUAAGUCAGGGGUGAAUCCUGGAGCUCAACUCCAGAACUGCCUUUGAUACUGGCGAGCUUGAGUUCGGGAGAGGUGAGUGGAACUGCGAGUGUAGAGGUGAAAUUCGUAGAUAUUCGCAAGAACACCAGUGGCGAAGGCGGCUCACUGGCCCGAGUACUGACGCUGAGGCACGAA
rnacentral:rRNA from 1 species